rfam:TPA: Bos taurus chromosome 3, whole genome shotgun sequence.
UCCCUAACUGUCCAAUGGUUAGGACUCUGCACUUUUACUGCUCAGGGCUAAGGUUAAACCCCUGUUUAGGGAA